GUGCCAGCAGCCGCGGUAACACGUAGGGGGCAAGCGUUGUCCGGAAUCACUGGGCGUAAAGGGUGCGUAGGCGGUAUGUCAAGUCAGGUGUGAAACCCCAUGGCUUAACUGUGGGCUUGCACAUGAAACUGUCAUACUAGAGUGCAGGAGAGGAAAGCGGAAUUCCUAGUGUAGCGGUGAAAUGCGUAGAUAUUAGGAGGAACACCAGUGGCGAAGGCGGCUUUCUGGACUGUAACUGACGCUGGGGCACGAAAGCGUGGGGAGCAAACAGGAUUAGAUACCCUGGUAGUCCACGCUGUAAACGAUGGAUACUAGGUGUAGGGGCUAAAGUCUCUGUGCCGGAGUUAACGCAUUAAGUAUCCCGCCUGGGGAGUACGGCCGCAAGGCUGAAACUCAAAGGAAUUGGCGG
rnacentral:rRNA from 1 species